CGGGUGCUGGACCUGCAGCACCACAGACGCGACUACUGUGCUGGACCUGUGACGCCAGGGCACAGAGGAAGUGGCUGUUUCUACGCUCAGUGCUCAGAACAGUGGGCACUAAGAAUGGUUUGUAGCCUGACAUUC
rnacentral:snoRNA from 1 species